GAAAAGGCCGAGCUGAGUCAGCCUGCUGGGCUCGUUUGAGGUCGAAACCGAGCCGCCCAAAUUUCGUAUACAACCCAACCCACAGACCAUAUCAGUUAAGCCGAUGCCUGCCGCUCUACACCAAGUCGGUAGAGACCAUCCUGAAUUCCUUCCUGAUCCAGGAGACGCCCACCACCUGUUCGACGCCGGCCCUGACCACCACGCCGACCGCAUCUACGCCACACCGGCGUCCUUGCCUCAAGGUCAAGGGGGCGUGUUCCUCGCUGUUCCGACACCCACGGAGGACCCAUAGAUACCUGCGCCGCCGCUCUUCCUCUUGCCUGAGCUUGUCCCUUCCGACGCCCGCAACGUGUUCGAUGUAAUGCUCCGAGAACGAUGCCAGCAGGGUGGCCCCCGCCACGGUCCUGCUGGGUGCUACUCCUACGGCCACGUGUACAACAAGACCAACGACACUACCAGCCUCUUCAUGCCGACGGACGCCACCAGCUUGAAUGCUUCAUGCCAAGCCAUGACCGUGGCACCGUCGGGAUUAGGGUCGUGCCCGAGUCCCUGAACGUGUCCCGGUCUACUACCGUCACACCAUGUUGGGAGCCCCCCACUGACUCUGCCAUUGUACGGUGACACCAGCUAGGUGUUCGAUGGAAUUCCCCGAUGAUGUCGACAGCUGGUUGAGCAACGUGUUAAUGCCAGCAUCACACAUGCAACACUAAACUGUAGCCCAAGGACGAGAUUGGUCUGUAAGGAGAUACAAGCAACAGAGGAAUCGAACGGAGAAGAAUUGGCAAGACUGGCCCAGCUCAUGGAGGAAAUAGUGACAUCAUUGUCGCACGCUGAUGGCAGUUACAAUCGCUAUGGUGGCAGCGGGAUGAGGAGUCGGCAGCUGUAUGUGCAGACAACGGUGGCGAUGGGAUGACGAACAGAUGGCGCCUGCUAGCUGGUCCCAAUGACGCAACAACAGCGAGCACCUAUAUCAUGGCGGAAACUGGAUGGUAAGCCCCACUCAACUCUGGCAUCAAUAGUAGAAAGAUGUUACAGUGCACUACCCCUCUGAUAUGAUAACGCAUGUAUGUAUUCAAUAUCGAAAGCUUCAAUCAAGAUCAAGAUAAGCACAUGCCGAUAUACACAAACAAGGUCUGCUCACUUCCACCAAAUUAGUUACAAAAGUCUCUCGUGAAUAUAGAUCUGAACAUGGCACUGGACUUCGAAUUGCACUCAACUUGGUGAUGAUGAAAUCACAACAUCAAUAAGAAAAGUGAUACACGUACAUUUGGAGCCCAAUUCAUGGACAAUAAGUAAGCUCAAAGGCUCCUAGUUACCUGGGCCAGGUACAAGCAAAACACACCACAACCAAGAAGGGAACAACCAGACACAAGAAUUUAACUAAUGGAAAGCCACAACGAACAUGCAGGUUUUCAAAUAAACAAAACUUGCAGGAGGCAAAGCCUAAGGAUCCACGGUGCUUGGCUCAGGGGCAGGUCCGGCGUGCAUUAGCAAUGCCCACAGGAGCGUGAUAAACUCGCCGCCACAGGCGAUAGGCUCCACAUGGUUGUGGACCUUGCUUUUCGAAGCGACUCGCAGGAUCAUCUCUGACCAGAACACAGCAAGCACACCCACGCUGUGCUCCCUUCUACAUCCGACAUGCCUGCUAGCUUCGUGGCAAGAGCGGCACCCUUCCCCAGCACCUCGUGCCGAUCUGAUCCACUCAGUAAUGUCACAAGGUCAUCAUAUCCAGAAACUAGAACGUCCAAGGAGUUCUUCUUGACACCUUUGUACAAGCUCUUGCACCAUUUGUCAUCAUCGGGAAGUAGCUCGGGCACAUGCGCCACCAAGUAGGCACAAUACCUUGACAGGUGAGUCGCAGUGAUCUUAUCGUCAGAAGCAGGGUGUGGGUACCUCACUUCAAGUAAGCUUGUGGCUAUAUGACAUAUGAGCAUGGGUGUGAGCCGCACCUUUGUCGCUGCAAUCCCAAAUGAAGUUAUUGCCAUCUUUUUGGCUCCGAGGCAAGAAUUCUCCACCUUUACCUUGGAUACCAUUACUUCUUCUGAGUGCACUGAUGAUCGCUGCCUUUACCA